GGCAUAUUUUGCCCAGGUGGAGCUCGGCCGCCCCUCCAAACGAUGAUCUCGUUCAUCGACGAACGCCGCGGAGUGUUCCGGGUCGAGCCGAUCUGCAGACUGCUGCCGAUUGCCCCG
rfam:Rhizobium sp. Root482 contig_14, whole genome shotgun sequence.